rnacentral:siRNA from 1 species
UCAUGCCUAAGAUUUGAGAUC